UGUGGAAUNCAGAGUGCCAGCUGUUUCUGG
rnacentral:piRNA from 1 species